GUGCCAGCAGCCGCGGUAAUACGUAGGAGGCGAGCGUUGUCCGGAUUUACUGGGCGUAAAGAACGCGUAGGCGGUUCGUUAAGUCUGGCGUAAAAUCUCCUGGCUCAACUGGGAGGGCGCACCGGAGACUGGCGGACUGGAGGGCAUCAGAGGAAAGCGGAACUCCCGGUGUAGUGGUGAAAUGCGUAGAGAUCGGGAAGAACACCUGUGGCGAAGGCGGCUUUCUGGGGUGUACCUGACGCUGAGGCGUGAAAGCGUGGGGAGCGAACCGGAUUAGAUACCCCAGUAGUCC
rnacentral:rRNA from 1 species